rnacentral:rRNA from 1 species
CUGGCUCAGGAUGAACGCUAGCUACAGGCUUAACACAUGCAAGUCGAGGGGCAGCAUGAUCUUAGCUUGCUAAGAUGAUGGCGACCGGCGCACGGGUGAGUAACGCGUAUCCAACCUUCCCUAUAGUAGAGGAUAGCCCGGCGAAAGUCGGAUUAAUACUCUAUGUUAUUCAAUGCGGACAUCUAAGUUGAAUCAAAGGUUUACCGCUAUAGGAUGGGGAUGCGUCUAAGUUAGGUUGUUGGCGGGGUAACGGCCCACCAAGCCUUCGAUCAGUAGGGGUUCUGAGAGGAAGGUCCCCCACAUUGGAACUGAGACACGGUCCAAACUCCUACGGGAGGCAGCAGUGAGGAAUAUUGGUCAAUGGGCGAGAGCCUGAACCAGCCAAGUAGCGUGCAGGAAGACGGCCCUAUGGGUUGUAAACUGCUUUUAUACAGGGAUAAAGUGUGCCACGUGUGGCGUUUUGUAGGUACUGUAUGAAUAAGGACCGGCUAAUUCCGUGCCAGCAGCCGC